AGGGAUGUAGCUAAGUAGCAGAGCACUUACCUGGCAUGUAUGAGGGGGCCCUGGGUUCAAUCCCCAGUACCACAA
rnacentral:tRNA from 1 species